rnacentral:rRNA from 1 species
UACGAAGGGGGGCGAGCGUUUGUUCGGAUUUACUGGGCGUAAAGGGCGCGCAGGCGGCGGAUCAAGUCAGACGUGAAAGCCCCGGGCUUAACCUGGGAACUGCGUUUGGGACUGGUUUGCUAGAGAUCGGGAGAGGAGAGUGGAAUUCCCAGUGUAGAGGUGAAAUUCGUAGAUAUUGGGAAGAACACCGGUGGCGAAGGCGGCUCUCUGGACCGAUACUGACGCUGAGGCGCGAAAGCGUGGGGAGCAAACAGG